rnacentral:rRNA from 1 species
CGUACAUCCAGAGAACUUAGCAGAGAUGCUUUGGUGCCUUCGGGAACUCUGAGACAGGUGCUGCAUGGCUGUCGUCAGCUCGUGUUGUGAAAUGUUGGGUUAAGUCCCGNAACGAGCGCAACCCUUAUCCUUUGUUGCCAGCGGUUCGGCCGGGAACUCAAAGGAGACUGCCGGUGAUAAACCGGAGGAAGGUGGGGAUGACGUCAAGUCAUCAUGGCCCUUACGGCCAGGGCUACACACGUGCUACAAUGGCGCAUACAAAGAGAAGCGACCUCGCGAGAGCAAGCGGACCUCAUAAAGUGCGUCGUAGUCCGGAUUGGAGUCUGCAACUCGACUCCAUGAAGUCGGAAUCGCUAGUAAUCGUAGAUCAGAAUGCUACGGUGAAUACGUUCCCGGGCCUUGUACACACCGCCCGUCACACCAUGGGAGUGGGUUGCAAAAGAAGUAGGUAGCUUAACCUUCGGGAGGGCGCUUACCACUUUGUGAUUCAUGACUGGGGUGAAGUCGUAACAAGGUAAGCGUAGUGCU